rnacentral:rRNA from 1 species
UGGGAACGUACCCUUUGGUUCGGAACAACCCAGGGAAACUUGGGCUAAUACCGGAUACGUCCGUAAGGAGAAAGAUUUAUCGCCAAGGGAUCGGCCCGCGUCUGAUUAGCUAGUUGGUGGGGUAAUGGCCACCAAGGCUACGAUCAGUAGCUGGUCUGAGAGGAUGAUCAGCCACAUUGGGACUGAGACACGGCCCAAACUCCUACGGGAGGCAG